rnacentral:lncRNA from 1 species
CCAGCUCUGCAAAUUCUGGUCACUGCCUCCCUGGAUUUCAACCUACCCAGUGGUGACAUAAGGGUUCCCUGACACCAUGGGUGUAAGCAUGCCUGGUAUGUGGAGGGGAUGCACAAAAAGGCACUAGCUUUAGGGUAAAGCCCAGGAAGCAGAGAGAGGAGUAAAGUCACCAGGCACUGUGGCAGAGACAGGGACCGACUCAGCAGAGGACUGAAGUGAAAGGGAAACUGAGGCUGAGCUGUCAGAGUUGAGAUUUAAAGUUUGUUUGGCUGCAGGGAGGUGGGGCCCUGUUUCCUCUGCCUUUCUGUCUUCUGUCACAGGCUGUGUCGUAGAUAGAGGAGCACGGCCAGACCAAGAAGCCAGUUGGAGCAUUUUCCACUCCUCAUUGGUGCUUCCUCCCAAGGGAGCCGAGAAAGAGAAAGCCCUUAUCUGCAGCAUAGCCAUCAGCCUUCCUAUUAUCCCCAGCCCAUUUGCUUAUCUGGAAGUCCCUUCCUCCAGG